rnacentral:rRNA from 1 species
GACGAACGCUGGCGGCGUGCUUAACACAUGCAAGUCGAACGGAAAGGCCCUGCUUUUGUGGGGUGCUCGAGUGGCGAACGGGUGAGUAACACGUGAGUAACCUGCCCUUGACUUUGGGAUAACUUCAGGAAACUGGGGCUAAUACCGGAUAGGAGCUCCUGCUGCAUGGUGGGGGUUGGAAAGUUUCGGCGGUUGGGGAUGGACUCGCGGCUUAUCAGCUUGUUGGUGGGGUAGUGGCUUACCAAGGCUUUGACGGGUAGCCGGCCUGAGAGGGUGACCGGCCACAUUGGGACUGAGAUACGGCCCAGACUCCUACGGGAGGCAGCGGUGGGGAAUAUUGCACAAUGGGCGGAAGCCUGAUGCAGCAACGCCGCGUGCGGGAUGACGGCCUUCGGGUUGUAAACCGCUUUCGCCUGUGACGAAGCGUGAGUGACGGGAAUGGGUAAAGAAGCACCGGCUAACUACGU